AUGCAGACCUCCCCAGUUGCUGGGGCGCUGGACCCUGCUAUACUGGACACAAGGUUUCUUCCCCAGGGAACAGAGCUUGAGCGGGGGGCCACCCCUGCGUCCUACCGGAGUUCUGAAGCGCGGUCAGGCGCGGAGAGCGGACGCCCAGCGCCAGAUUCUGUGGGCGCCGGAGAUCAGGCCCACUGUGCCGGAGAUCAGGCCCACUGAGCCGCAGCUGCGCACAGGCGGGGCAGGAAAAAGGAUGAGGUAAGUUUGUUCCUGUCAAUUGGGAACCCCCUCAACCACUUCCAUUCCCCAAAUACCUGCGCUGCUACCGAUGCCUCUUGGAGACCAAGGAGUUAGGGUGCCUUCUGGGAUCUGACAUCUGCCUCACCCCGGCUGGCAGCAGCUGCAUCACUCUCCACAUAAAGAACAGCAGCGGUUCUGACAUCAUGGUGAGUGACUGCCGAAGUAAGGAGCAGAUGAGUGAUUGUUCAAAUACCCGAACUUCUCCGGUGUCUGGCUUCUGGAUAUUCUCUCAAUGCUGCUUCCUGGAUUUCUGCAAUGACCCUCAAAACAGAGGGCUCUAUACUCCUUAGUGUGACUGCAACAACCUUUGGUGUAAAAUUCCACCAGUUUCCAGCCACCUUCCUGACUUCUAUCUGGGCUUGGCCAGGACUUCUAGUCCCUCAUACCAGCCCUCCUUGC
rnacentral:sRNA from 1 species